rnacentral:tRNA from 10 species
UCGAAAUCGGUAGACGCUGCGGACUUAAAAUCCGUUGGCUUUUUAGACCGUGAGGGUUCAAGUCCCUCUACCCCCA